rnacentral:rRNA from 1 species
GAUGAACGCUGGCGGCGUGCCUAAUACAUGCAAGUCGAGCGAACAGACGAGGAGCUUGCUCCUCUGACGUUAGCGGCGGACGGGUGAGUAACACGUGGAUAACCUACCUAUAAGACUGGGAUAACUUCGGGAAACCGGAGCUAAUACCGGAUAAUAUAUUGAACCGCAUGGUUCAAUAGUGAAAGACGGUUUUGCUGUCACUUAUAGAUGGAUCCGCGCCGCAUUAGCUAGUUGGUAAGGUAACGGCUUACCAAGGCGACGAUGCGUAGCCGACCUGAGAGGGUGAUAGGCCACACUGGAACUGAGACACGGUCCAGACUCCUACGGGAGGCAGCAGUAGGGAAUCUUCCGCAAUGGGCGGAAGCCUGACGGAGCAACGCCGCGUGAGUGAUGAAGGUCUUCGGAUCGUAAAACUCUGUUAUUAGGGAAGAACAAAUGUGUAAGUAACUAUGCACGUCUUGACGGUACCUAAUCAGAAAGCCACGGCUAACUACGUG